UACGAAGGGUGCAAGCGUUACUCGGAAUUACUGGGCGUAAAGCGUGCGUAGGUGGUUCGUUAAGUCUGAUGUGAAAGCCCCGGGCUUAACCUGGGAACUGCGUUUGAGACGGAUGGGCUAGAGUUCGGGAGAGGAGAGUGGAAUUCCCAGUGUAGAGGUGAAAUUCGUAGAUAUUGGGAAGAACACCGGUGGCGAAGGCGGCUCUCUGGACCGAUACUGACGCUGAGGCGCGAACGUGGGGAGCGACGGG
rnacentral:rRNA from 1 species